rnacentral:rRNA from 1 species
UACGGAGGGGGCUAGCGUUGUUCGGAAUUACUGGGCGUAAAGCGCGUGUAGGCUGCUCCGCAAGUCGGGUGUGAAAGCCCUGGGCUCAACCCAGGAAGUGCACUCGAAACUGCUUCGCUCGAGUAUCGGAGAGGAAAGCGGAAUUCUCGGUGUAGAGGUGAAAUUCGUAGAUAUCGUAAGGAAGACCAGUGGCGAAGGCGAGUUCCUGGACAGUUGCUGACACUGAGGCACGAAGGCUAGGGGAGCAAACGGG